AUGGACGCCAAGUUCCACGACGUCGACAGCAACCACGUGGGCAUCGACGUAAACAGCCUCAUCUCACGGCAGGCCAAGCGGGCUGGGUACUACCGCGACGAGGACGGCGCCUUUCAAGAUCUGAGGCUGAACAGCCGCAGGCCGAUGCAGGUGUGGGUUGACUACGACGCCAUGGCCAGGCGACUCGACGUACCAAAGCCCAAGAAUACUUUGCUCUCCCAAGUCAUUGAUCUCUCCACGGUCAUGGCGGACAAGAUGUACGUUGCCUUCUCGUCUUCGUCAGGAAUCGACUCCACGCACCACUAUGUCCUUGGAUGGAGCUUCAGCUUGGACGGGCCUGCCCCGCCUCUCGACUUCUCCAAACUCCCUGCUCUGCCACAUGUGGGUCCCAAGCCUCGGUCUAAGAUCUUGAACGUCGUGCUGCCACUGGCUUCGUCAUUGCUUGUCAUCGCAGUGCUAGGUGUUGUCUUCUUCAUUUUGUGGUAUCGACGCUGA
rnacentral:rRNA from 1 species